ACGGGUGAGUAACACGUAUCCAACCUGCCGUCUACUCUUGGCCAGCCUUCUGAAGGAAGAUUAAUCCAGGAUGGGAUCAUGAGUUCACAUGUCCGCAUGAUUAAAGGUAUUUUCCGGUAGACGAUGGGGAUGCGUUCCAUUAGAUAGUAGGCGGGGUAACGGCCCACCUAGUCAACGAUGGAUAGGGGUUCUGAGAGGAAGGUCCCCCACAUUGGAACUGAGACACGGUCCAA
rnacentral:rRNA from 1 species